rnacentral:lncRNA from 1 species
UUAGCGUGGGGUGGUGGUUGGACUAGAUGAUCUUAUUGGUCUUCCUUUCCAACCCUAAAAAGACUUUGGUUUUAUCAUUUGUAGGUGGGGAGCGCCACCUGCUGCGGGCAAUGCACCGAGCGACCCUUCAACAACUGUUACAUCGGCAUCAUAACUGCAUUGAUGGGAAAUGAGUUACCAAAGUUGUGGUAUUUUGUAUCCUACGCCUUCCAUCAGUCAUUACAGAAGGUAAAAAGCAGCUGAUCGCCACUGUCAGUCAGAAGAACAUCUUAACUGAUACCACCUGAAGAUAUUUUCUGUUUAAAAAGAUAAAUGGCAAAAGCUGAUCUACUAAAAUGAUCUGUUUGGGAGUUGGGAACUCUUCACCAGCAUGUGGCCUUGCAGACCAAUUAGACCAAUGACUGCCAGAGCUCUGUGGGCACUAAUGGCCUUAAGCAGCCCCACCUGUGGCCAUCAGCAGUUCUGCCCUAGAGAUGCUCGCUGCUGCCUGUCUUCGUGUGAGGCUUAUCAAAGUGCACUUUGUCUUUGGAACAGCACUGACUGAGCCAGCACAAGAACAGGCUGCAGCUGCAGAGGGGGACACAAGCAUGGAUGCUCAUGGCAGAACACAAGGACAGCUCAUGCUUCUUUUUCCAUGCUCUCAGCAGAGAUCUGUGAGACAUAUCUUAAGAAAUACAAGUACUGGGGAAGCAUUUAUGCCUACUAGCUGAAUGGCAGCUUAAGAAAUUCCUCCUAUGUCCUAAUGUGUUCAAAAGUUUUUAUCUUCACGCUUCUCUACCUUGAAACUUUCCUGUCAGAAAAGGAAAAAAACAAACUAAACUAAAACAGCCCUGCUCCAGCUGGAACACCUCUCACCUAAGCCAGGUGCUUCUUCUAAUUAAUAAUGUGUAGUGUGGGGGGGCACCUCUCACUGCUGUGAGCCCUGGGAUAUAGCCUAGAUCCACAGGGUAAAAUACAGGGAGUUUAUGACAUUAUUUGCCCAGAGGGUUUGAGGAUGCUUCAUCCCUGGAGGUGUUCAACGCCAGGUUAGAUGUGGCCAUGGGUAGCCUGAUCUGGUGCCUGAUUUAUUGGUUGGCAGCCCUGUUUCAGCAUGGAGUUGUAAAUAGAUGCUCUUUGAGGUCCCUUCUAAUUUAAGUCAUUCUUAAUGACACAGUGAUUCUGUAGCUUACAACCAGCUGAUGGUAUCCUCAUGCCAAGCUUUUGCCACAUCUCCAGCCCUCUGCUGCUAAUCAGUGCACGGUCUAUAUAAAUGCACACCUGUUAUAGGCACAAAACAAGCACUGCAGAGCUAUAUCUGUAAAAGCUUGUUCUCCUGUUGGAGAGUCACAACAGUGAGGUACAAGAUGUGAUGCCUGCCACUGUGUGCUGCUUUCCUUCACCCUCUCCCUUCUUCUCACAGCUAGGACAUUACUUUCUCAGUAGACUGAAUACACCUAUUUUCCUCAUGGCCAGAAACUGGGACAUCUUGCAUUUUCAUGUUUAAGUUCAGGUACUUGUGGCACAAAAAGCCAGAGCUACUGCCCCCAUUAGCCUUAUGGAGUUAUAGAAUUGUUUGAGCUGGAAGGAACCCCUGGAGGCC